GAUGAACGCUGGCGGCGUGCCUAAUACAUGCAAGUCGAGCGAACAGACGAGGAGCUUGCUCCUCUGACGUUAGCGGCGGACGGGUGAGUAACACGUGGAUAACCUACCUAUAAGACUGGGAUAACUUCGGGAAACCGGAGCUAAUACCGGAUAAUAUAUUGAACCGCAUGGUUCAAUAGUGAAAGACGGUUUUGCUGUCACUUAUAGAUGGAUCCGCGCCGCAUUAGCUAGUUGGUAAGGUAACGGCUUACCAAGGCAACGAUGCGUAGCCGACCUGAGAGGGGGAGGGCCCACACGGAAAGGGACACCGGGCCAAGCCCCCUACGGAGGGCACAAGGGGGAAUUUUUCGGCAGGGGGAAAAACCGGGAGGGAGAAACGCCGGGGGAGGAAAAAAGGUUUUGGGACCGAAAAACUUUUUUAUAGGGAAAAAAAAAAUUUGAAAGAAAAUAGCCACGUUUGGAGGGAACAAAAUAAAAAACCCACGGCAAACACCGUC
rnacentral:rRNA from 1 species